rnacentral:lncRNA from 1 species
AUAGCCAACUAGCAGAACCAAGUGCAUUGCGCAGCCAGAGGGAAGCACUGAUUGUGUGCCAUGUGCGGUCCACUGGUGACGGAGGACAGCUGAGCUGGGCACAGGGAUGCUGUCCUGCGGUGUGCUGUCAUGGAGAAUAUCCAAGCAGGUGCAACUGGCUCCAGAAACACCUACUCAGGAGAUAACCUUGAAAGUCAAAAAAUGAUUCCCUUAUCUGCCGGCUGUUGGAUUUCUGUGCACAGACACUGAAAAGGGAAGUCUGAGGAGAACUUUUUGACCAGGACAUGUCAGAAAAACUUCAGUUUACUGUGCUCUCAAGAAUAUCUAGCCUACAGCUGCCAUGUAAGUACCAUUUUUAAGUACCAUUUUUUUUUUAAAUUUAAGA